rfam:Lactobacillus sp. ASF360 genomic scaffold acMPL-supercont1.1, whole genome shotgun sequence.
GGUAAGAUAUGCAAAUGGUUAACGCUGACAGACUGUAAAUCUGUUGCCUUUAUGGCUUUGUGGGUUCAAAUCCUACUCUUACCA